rnacentral:hammerhead_ribozyme from 1 species
AGCCAGCUGACGAGUCCCGAAUAGGACGAAACGCGCGUCGUGGAU